ACCAGCCUACGGUCUUUUAACUUGGUACAGGUCUGACUGGGUCACUACCCCUCCCUCCUACAACCGAUCCUCUUUCCUCCAAUCCUUUAUUGUGAUACGUGAGUAAAAAAAAAAAAACAACAUUGUCUGCGAGAAGUCAAUGUGUCAAGGUUUCUUACAUUUAAAUGAGUCAAGUCACGUGGUUUGUUAGACGAGACACUGUUUGAUACUUCACAAGUUCACUGGACAAGACACUCGAAGUUGAAAAGGAUCUACUUGAUCAGCAUACACUAUCUGUGUUCAGUGGAUAGACAAAGUUCUCUGUGAAGGAGCAUCUAUCUCAGUCAUGUGACAGAGCAGAGAGGAUCUCAUCUGAGACACACGGGAGACCAGAUUUUUUGAGACCCGAUCUCUGAGGCACUCGUAAGGCCCGGUCUCUGAGACACACCGGAGACCCGAUCUCUGAGACACACCGGAGACCCGAUCUCUGAGACACACCGGAGAUCCGAUCUCUGAGACACACCGGAGACCCGAUCUCUGAGACACACUGGAGACCCGAUCUCUGAGACACACCGGAGACCCGAUCUCUGAGACACACCGGAGACCCGAUCUCUGAGGCACAUUGGAGACCCGAUCUCUGAGACACAUUGGAGACCCGAUCUCUGAGGCACAUUGGAGACAAAAUCUCUGAGACACACCGGAGACCCGAUCUCUGAGACACACGGGAGACCCGAGCUUCGAGUAACACGGAAGACACAAUCCCUGAGACUCGAAUCACUGGACAAUGUCUGUCUCAAGCAUCCUUUUAAACAUCUUUUUGCCGGUCCUCACCUUCUACUUCUACCAAUCUUACGUUUACAAAAGAGCCCAGUACAAAGUUGUUGAGAACCUUCGACCCCACUACGACUACAUCAUAGUCGGUGGAGGAUCUGCAGGGUGUGUUCUUGCUGCAAGACUCUCAGAGAACGCUUCCAAGACAGUUUUGUUGCUGGAAGCGGGUUCCAGCGACAUUGGCCAUGCUGAGAUGGACACGCCCAUACGGGUACCGGAAACGUUCCUGAGUCGAUUUGAUUGGAUGUUUUACAGUGAGCCUCAACAGAGCAGCAUGGAGGGUCUGGAAGGAAAGAAAGUUUAUCUUCCAAGAGGGAAAGUCUUGGGCGGGUCAAGUCAAAUUAACUACAUGCAGUGGAGUCGUGGCCACAGACGAGACUAUGACAUAUGGGCCGAGCUGGGCGCAUCAGGGUGGAGCUACAAGGACGUUUUGCCUUAUUUUAAAAAGUCCGAGGAUGUUGUCCCCAAACAUUUGGCCAGUGAAGAGUACAGGGGGACCCAGGGACCCAUGAAGAUCACACAAAUCAAAACCUCUCCGUUGUCUUCAACUUUCAUCGAGGCUGUCAAGCUGUUGGGAUAUUCAGAGACGGAUUUUAAUGGAGAAGACCAGGAAGGUGUCGGCUAUACACAGAGUAAUAUCUAUAAGGGGGAGAGAUGGAGCACUGCCCGGGCCUAUCUGUGGCCCGCCUCACAGCGUGAGAACCUUGACAUUGUCCCAGACAGCUAUGUUCAUAAGAUCAACAUUGCACAAGGCCGUGCUGUGGGGGUCACAUUGACACAAGGUGCCUCCGGGAGACAACCAAAAGAGAUGAAGGUCAAGGCUAAGCUGGAGGUGAUUCUGUCUGCAGGAGCAUUUGGGAGCCCACAUCUGUUAAUGUUAUCUGGAAUAGGGCCCAGUGAACUUCUGACGUCUCUCCAGAUUCCUGUCAAGGCAGAUCUUCCUGUCGGAGACAACCUGCAAGACCACGUGCUGUCUUUCCUAUUGGUCAAUACUAACACCAGUGUUGGACUUUCUUAUAUAUCUACCUAUCAUCACUUCGAGUACUCUACAUUUGGCACAGGUCCACUUACUUCACCUGGCGGAAAUGACGCUGUGGCUUACCUGAAAACGCAGCCCAACCUCCCCCAGCCUGACGUUCAACUCGUUCUAGUGGGCGCCUACCCGGACAAAAAGUUUAUGAAGGUCCUGCCUGGUAUCAGCACUCAGUUAAUACAGAACUGGAGACUUUCGUCCGACAGAACUGGAUUCUUGCUACUGCCAUGUAUCCUGCAGCCAAAGAGCAGAGGAACAUUACGGCUUAAGUCAUCAGAUCCACUGGACUAUCCAGCAAUAGAUCCAGCAUAUUUGGCUGAUCCAGACGACCUUGGUGCACUAGUCAAAGCGAUGCAGCUAGCCUUACGAAUUAUCAAGACGGAACCGUUCCAAAGGAUGGGUGCCACUGUAGACCGAGCCCCUGUGCCAGGGUGUGAGAACCACUCCUUUAACUCAGAAGCGUAUUGGAAAUGUUACGCACACCUUCUAGCAAUGACAUCUCAUCAUCCGUCUGGCACGUGCAGGAUGGGAGCCAGUAAUGACCCAAAGACAGUAGUGGACAGUCGACUGCGAGUAAAAGGAAUAGACGGCCUGAGAAUCGCCGAUGCUUCAAUCAUGCCUCAACUGGUCUCUGCCAACACCAACGCUCCAACAAUCAUGAUUGCUGAAAAAGCUGCUGACCUAAUUAAGGAAGACAACGAAUAAUGCCAGUUUGGCUUUUUAAUUUGAAGUUAAUUGUUUUGACUUCAACUAGAGAGACUAUUCUGGCCACUUUGUGCUUCAUUCCAGAGUCUCUUCAGUGUGUUUUAGGCCUGAGAUUUAGAGUUUGGUAUUUUAUGUUUGAAUGAAUGUAGGCCAGUGUUGCCCAAUCUACAGCCCGCGGUCCACAUCCGGUGAUAUCCAGCCCUUUGAAUCGUCUGCCCACAGUUCAAAAUAAAACCGUACAAGAUCGGUUCCAUUGGUGAAGAGGCACGUGAACCAUGGCACCUUGGUCAAAAAACGGUUGGGCAAUACUGGUGCAGGGCAAUACUGAUGCAGGGCAACACUGGUACAGAGCAACACUGAUGCAGGUUAAGUGUAAGAAUGUAUUUAUGUGUGAUUGAGAGAACGAACAGUCGUGAACGAUUUGUCGUGUCCCCGGCAGGCUAAGUGUUAGCACGCAUGUAUCUAUGUGUGAGUGCAGAAAUGAGUAUCACAUUUAAAAAGAGACUUGAAGAGAUAUGAAUGACAUUAUGUUUGUGUUGAGACAAGAGAAAGUCAGGCUCUAGAAACGAGACUAAAUGAGGCAAUGCUAUUUAAAAAAAAAUAAUUCUAAAAUGUUUAUUUAUAGAGCCUUUGAAUACUUAAUGCCUAUGUUGUUAACAAUGUCACUUUUAUGUUUACAUUGACUUGAAGAGUAAAUUUUCUACAAUUCAA